GACGAACGCUGGCGGCGUGCUUAACACAUGCAAGUCGAGCGGUAAGGCCCUUUCGGGGGUACACGAGCGGCGAACGGGUGAGUAACACGUGGGUGACCUGCCCUCAGCUCUGGGAUAAGCCUGGGAAACCGGGUCUAAUACUGGAUAUGACUCCAUGACGCAUGUUGUGGGGUGGAAAGCCUUGUGCGGCUGAGGAUGGGCCCGCGGCCUAUCAGCUUGUUGGUGGGGUGAUGGCCUACCAAGGCGACGACGGGUAGCCGGCCUGAGAGGACGACCGGCCACACUGGGACUGAGACACGGCCCAGACUCCUACGGGAGGCAGCAGUGGGGAAUCUUGCGCAAUGGGCGAAAGCCUGACGCAGCGACGCCGCGUGAGGGAUGACGGCCU
rnacentral:rRNA from 1 species